AAACCCUCAACCCUAGAUUGGUUAAAACCUUUCUUUGGUUUGGAUUUGGACGUUUGCCGAUGAUAAGUCGGCUCGUCUUAAAAGUAAUAGCUGGAUCUGUCUCGCGACAUGGUUUGACUUGGCGUAAUAAGUAUUUCGCUAAGGACAUCUUCGGAUGGCCGCGUUGCAGGACUAAAGACCGCUUUCGAAUCCAUUGAUCUUCGGAUUAAUACUCUUGAC
rnacentral:misc_RNA from 1 species